UACGUAGGGGGCUAGCGUUGUCCGGAUUUAUUGGGGGUAAAGAGCGUGUAGGCGGCCAGGUAGGUCUGCUGUGAAAACUCGAGGCUCAACCUCGAGACGUCGGCGGAAACCAUCUGGCUAGAGUCCGGAAGAGGAGAGUGGAAUUCCUGGUGUGGCGGUGAAAUGCGCAGAUAUCAGGAAGAACACCCGUGGCGAAGGCGGCUCUCUGGGACGGUACUGACGCUGAGACGCGAAAGCGUGGGGAGCGAACAGG
rnacentral:rRNA from 1 species